rnacentral:rRNA from 1 species
UACGGGGGGGGCAAGCGUUGUUCGGAAUUACUGGGCGUAAAGGGCUCGUAGGCGGCCAACUAAGUCGGAUGUGAAAUCCCCAGGCUUAACCUGGGAACUGCAUCUGAUACUGGAUGGCUUGAAUCCGGGAGAGGGAUGCAGAAUUCCAGGUGUAGCGGUGAAAUGCGUAGAUAUCUGGAGGAAUACCGGUGGCGAAGGCGGCAUCCUGGACCGACAUUGACGCUGAGGAGCGAAAGCGUGGGGAGCAAACGGG